rnacentral:lncRNA from 1 species
CCACCAUACUAGGCCACCGUACUCAACUACGAGGAAGGCUGAGGCAGGAGGGUCACAAGUUUGAGACUAGCCUGAGCAACUUAUAUGACCCUGUCUCAGAAUAAAAAGGAAUGGGAAUGCAUCUCAGGGUAGAGCACACCUGGGUUCAAUCCCUGGUAUGAAAAAANNNNNNNNNNNNNNNNNNNNNNNNNNNNNNNUGCCCUGCCUGAUCUGUCUACCCUGCUGACCUUCUGGUAGGAUCCUGCAGCCACUGCUCCCCAAAUCAGCAUGGGAGCUUGGCCCUGUCACUUCCACUCUGCACGCAAUCUGUUUCUGCAGGGGCAUUGUCCUCCCCAGUGGGCCUUGCCUGGGCACGUAGGAGGGCUGGGGGAAUCUACCGCGCCUGACAUGCCAGCCUCCCCACUCAGCACCUGAGUGCUCCAGGCAGCUGGGGCUUCAUGAAAAACUACCAACCCUAACAAGGCUGCCAGCUGCCCUAGCAUUUGUUGUGAACCUGACUCAGAGAUCACUGUCCUGGCCAGGUGUGGUGGCACAGGCUUGCACCACCAUACUAGGCCACCGUACUCAACUACGAGGAAGGCUGAGGCAGGAGGGUCACAAGUUUGAGACUAGCCUGAGCAACUUAUAUGACCCUGUCUCAGAAUAAAAAGGAAUGGGAAUGCAUCUCAGGGUAGAGCACACCUGGGUUCAAUCCCUGGUAUGAAAAAAAGGCACCCAGGGAAAGCAGUAAGCCACAAGGCCCAGAGAGGCAUGCUAAACAUUGCAGCACAUGGCACCAGGGUACGGCAGAGCAGGGUGCUGGUAGAACAGCCUUGGUGGCUGGGGAAUAGCCUUUUUGUGUGUGUGGAAGGGGUACCAGGGAUUGAACCCAAGGGCACUCGACUCCUAAGCCACAUCCCCAGCCCUAUUUUUGUAUUUUAUUUAGAGAUAAGGUCUCAUUGAGUUGCUUAGCGCCUCACUUUUGCUGAGGCUGGCUUUGAACUCACCAUCCUCCUGCCUCAGCCUCCCAGGCCACUGAGAUUACAGGCACCACACCUGGCAGAAACAGCCUUUUGAUACUACAGCAUGUGAGGCCUGCAGGAGUUCAGAGGGGCUGAUGGCGAAGGUAUGUUGCUUUGAUCUCUCUUCUUUUAUUGUAAUAAAAUGUAAAUUUGCCACUGUAUCCAUUUGGAGUGCACAGUUUAGUGACUUCAGGCAAUUUUGCUGCAGUGAGCCAUCUUCACUGCCUGAACUCCCCAUCUUCCCAAGGUGAACCUCAGCACCCAGGAAGCACCAGCCCUGAGCCCUAGCACCCUUCUGCUUCCUGUCUGUAUUUGAGCACUCCAGCCCCAUUGUGUAAGUGGAAUCCACUGUUUGUCCUUUUAAGAAUGUAUUUCACUCAGCAGUGUCCUCUAGUGCACCUAUGUUGUACCAUGUGAUGGGAUUUCCGCCCUUCUAAAAGGCAGAAUGCUGCUCCAGCAUGCCUACACCUACACACACUACGGCUUGUCACUCACCCCUCUGUGGGCAAUGGGUGGCUCCACCUCCUGGCUGUUUUGCGUAAUGCAGCUGUGACAGGCUUAUGGAUUUUGUUUUUUUACUAUACUGUGGAUUGAAGCCAGGGCCUCACACACACUAAGCCAGCCUUCUGCUGCUGGGUUACUUCCUCCACCUAGUGUUUUGUUUUUAUGAUGGGUGCAAUUACAUUGAGCUUACUGGAUGAUGGAAUGACGCAGAGGAUCUGGGAUGCAGGAGAUGGUACAGUACUGUCGCAAGAGGGCAAAAUUGCGACGUAUGCAGUCGAGGGGAGAAAUAAAAAUGUCCAUGUGCUUCUGCUCUUUUCAGUGCUUUAUUCUCUCAAAUCACUCCAUACAGUUUCACUCUAUAGGUUCUUAAUCAAGAAAAUGACAAUCCUUGAUGCUGGGCACUGCAAUAGACAUAAUCAAUUCACAGCAAACAAUUCUAGAUUAAGUCUAAGCACUGCAAACACACCUAAUCAUGACAGGCUAAUGACAGACAUCCCCUCUGCAGGAUAAGUUCAAAAGUCCUAAGCCUUAGGCUUUAUGUCCAGCAGAUGCCCACCCACUCGGACUGUGGUGACCAGGUCCGGAACCAAGCAGGCUUUUCCUGGCGUGGAGUGGACGACCGGUUGAGGAGGGGGUCUUAGGGAGAAGUUGCGGCUCUCACCAAGGUCCAGACGAGGCGGUAGAGUUUGAGAGUGGUGACCAUCACGCAGAGGCUCAGGAAGGAUGACAAGUGACGGGAUGUCAGGUCCUCAUCAGGCUCUCCAGCUCGAGUGCAUCCUUGUUUCGGGUGGCUGAAUCCCUGUUCAUUUGCUCUAUUAUUUUUACUACAUUUGGGGGCUUUUGACCCCCCUUUCAAUCCUUAUCAGCUACCACUGGAUUUCUCAGUGACAUCAUUUACCCUGGGGUCAGAAACAUCUGGUCUGGUGUCUCCCCCCAUCUUCUCACCCUUCCCUCUUAUCAGGCGAGGACAGCCUGCCAGGGGCUUCACUCUGUUGAUCAGGGUCAGGGGAAGUGACUUGUCUGAGGCCACACUGGAGGGCUCUGUGGGUGUGCCUGGUGAGCCUGGGUACUGGUGAGUUGCUUAGGCUCGGGCCUAAGGCCAUCCUCACAAGUACCCAGAGGACUGGCCUUACUGGGGAGGGAAGCCAUCUGAGAAUGCUCUCAGUGGUAGCUCUUAGACUAGACAAGAGGGCAUUGGGAAAGUGGGAGGGCACAGGAAAAGGCACCGAGGCCCUUUGGGCAGAGGCCAGCCUUGCACUGACCUUUGAGGGCUCAGACAGUUUUGGCCCCUGGGGUGCAGAGGUUAGGGAAGGCCUGAACAUCAGACCCAGCCCAGAUCUUUGCCCAGAAGCUGACAACUGGAGCAUUGUGUGGCCAGAGGCUGUUUCAAGCCAGCCUGGUCCUAGCCUCUAACCAGCCCAGUGGUAGAAGGAAGUAGAAGGAAACCUCCAUUUUUGGCCAUCGCAUCUUGAGAGAUGUGUGGGGCUGCCCUCUUUUUUGUCCCAGGCAGCCUCUCCCAGGCCCUGCCCUAACUCCCACUUAGGGACAGGCAGGAGAGGCACCUGACCCCAGGGCCCAGGACAUCCAGCCCAAGCUCAUCAGGCCCUGCCCUGCCCGGCCCUGCCCUACAGGGCUAGGGAACAGAGUCCUUGGCAUCAGUCUCCCAGCUCAACAACCCAGCCCCACCCUGCAGAGCUCGGGUGUCAGGGGUUGGCUGAAUUCAGUGGGAGGAGCCCAGAGGCAGGGCUGCCCUAGGCCUGGGGAUGUCCAAGAUCCCUGGGGUUCAACCUUUCCCCCAGACUGCACAGAGGUAGAGAUAAGGCCCAGGGGUCAAAGGCUGGAGAGAGAGCAGCCAGGGGGAGCACACUGGGAGCCACAGCCUCCCCUGACCCUCCCCAGGCCCAGAGCUUGGGCACUUCCCAGACCUCCUGCCCUUAUUGCUCAUCUCUCGGUCCUGGUCCCCGAUGAUGGCAAUCCAAUAAGAAGGACAUGGUUUUGAGAAACACAGGGGACUCCCGUCCUGAAAUCGGGUGCCAUCCCCAAAGUCUGGAUGACUUUGUUCCUGUGAUAGAUGUGUAUUCAAGGAAAGAUAAAUGCCUAAAAUGGGGAAGAAAGUGCAUCCUGUUUCCCCUGAGGUUACGGAGGGGAGAGAUUAGAGAGGAGCAGGGAGAGAGCAAGAGAAUGAAGCAGGUCCAUUUGAGCAGGGAGGCCACAUUCAAAGCAUAAAGUGAAGCACUGUUACGCCCUGACCCCAAGAGCCCUGCAGGUGGGGCCAGGGCGAAGGUCGUGUCCUCCCUUCCUGUUUGUGGGUUGGAGCUUUGGCCGUUUCCUGGGGAUUUUCCCUGAAGGGCUUGGGGUGCGGUACCUGACUCAGCAAGCACCUUUGUGGUUCCUUACACAGCAGCCCAUCCCUGGCCCAGAGACCACAGCCCCAUCCCCAACUGGGGCCACAGGCUUUGGGGAGACAGCUGGGAAGGCACCAAGGCAGGUGUUGGCGGGAGGAUUCUGAGGUGCCAACGUGGCAUUCAUGCCGCUCUGUUCCAGGAGCAUGAACUGGAGGGUGACCUCCAGAGAGAGUCCCAGGAGGGGGUGCUUGGAGCCCUUGGGAGAGCAGAGGGGGUGGCCUGCACCACUACUCUGGGUUAGGCAGGCAGGGAAGGGAUGCCCAGGCCAUCACCGAGGGGAAGGGCCCAGUCCUUAUUCCCCAGCAGGCAGCAGCCCAGCUCCUUGCUAUCAGGGAGGACCUGUCACUGGAAGGGUUAACCCAGACACCUCCAGCAACCAAUCACAGAGCCCUAUAGGGAAUACCUGGGAGAGGUCCUGGGGCCAGACCUGUAGAGCCCAACCCUAGUCUGGUCCCAGCAGCCCUCAACUGGCUCAGACACACAGACUCCACUCAGCUCCGAGCACUCUGGCGACCAAGCAUGGUGCUCCUAGCCCAGCUCACAGCAGGGCUGCUGUGGGCCAUGACGGUGGUAACGGCGGUGGUGGCCCAGCCUGCCAGUCUGCUGAGCCUGCUCACCUCAGGCCGGGGCACUCUGGAUGGAGAGGAGCUGAGCAGCCUAUUAAAUACGCUGGUGGGCCGUGUGCACUGUGCCAGCGGGCCGUGUGGAAAGGUAACAGCCCCACCCGAUGGGUCCCCCAGCCCCGGUGCUUCCUGCCUGCUCCACCCUGCAGCCUGCAGCAAAGGGAGCUGGGCAAACUCCAGGAGGCGGGCCAGGGCCAAGGCCAGAGCCAGGCCUACCACAGGCCAGAGCCUUUCCUCCCCUGCUGGGGGCUGACAGUCCUGCCCCCCACCCCACACACAGAGUUCCGCUCUUUUCCCCAGGCUGCGAAGUUGGCAGUGGCUUCAGGAAGAAACAACCCAGAGAUGGGGGUCUGACUGGUGGGGACUUUGUGUGUGCUAGCCAAGUGAGGGGCACGAGCAGGGUAGGGUGUGAGAGAGGGCCUAGGGCCCGUCCUUGCCAGGGCCUGCCUCUGCCCUCUCUGAUGGGCCCAGUCCAGCUCCUGUCCACCUGUUUCUGCCCACAGUGCCUGUCUGUGGAGGCUAUCUUGGCCCUGGGUAGGCCUGACAAGCCAGGGCUGGCUCCAGGACCAGUCCUAGAGUCCAGGUACAUAGCCCGCCUCAGUGCCGCUGCAGCUCUCUAUCUUAGCAAUCCAGAGAGGACAUGUGCAGACAUCCAGGCUGGCCGCUGGGCCUCCCAGGCCGACCACUUCCUGGUCCUACUGGAGAGUUCUGAGGCCCUGACCCAGGGCCUAAGUCAGCUGCUGCAGAAGAUCAAGGCCCAGUCUGCUGGCCGGCCUGCUGGGGAAGAGGUGAGGGCCCAUGAGGGCUGGUCAGGAAGUAGGGUAAAGUGGCCAGAACACAGGAAGGGGCCAUUAGGGGGUCAGUCCUGACUAAAGCAGGGGAAACACCCACACAAUGCCCUCCAGGCUCUGGGGGAUCUCAUAGGGGUUUACACUGACUGGGUCAGGGACUGCCAGAGCCAGGAGUCCCAGUGAAGACGGAGUAGGGUGUGGGGUUCCCCAGUGACGGCAGACCAGGAAGGCUCUGGUGCCCCAAGAAGGCCAGAGAGCAGACUGGGGGCCUGGACUAGCUGGGCCAGGGCAGGGCUGGGCUUUGGCCCCAGAAGAACUGAGGCUAGCCAGGUCGUAGGUGAGAAGGAAGAAGUGGUUCCGAAUCCAGGAAGUGCAUCAGUCUGGUGGGUGCAGACCUGUGAAUCAGUGGGAGACAUAUCCAACAGGUAAAGGCAGAGCUGGAGCCAGAAGUUCAUUGAGGGUGGGGCUGAGGCCCAUCCGUCAUAAGUGGUUACUACAGACUCAGUCUGAGGCACAGUUAGAUCCAACCAAAUCUGUUUUAUUAAUGCUCACCACACUUUAGACAUCCUAAUUCUAAGUCCUAACUGAGUCAACGCCAAGGGUCCCAGGUGCUCACCUGUGACAUGUCUUAAGUCUGGGUCGCUGGAACUCAUCCAAGCCAGAGGAGUCUGGUGCAGGGGGAAAAACAGCAACGGAGGCCUCGGUCUCUUUGUCCAGGUCCUGUUGGUCCCGUCGCCCCAUAGAAGUCUGGGUUUUUAAGUCCUAGUUCAGUUGUGCUUGUGGCAGAUGACUGGGUGUAGACGCUUACAUCACUAACUGAAGUCUGUCUCUAAGUGUUGCAGUUCACAGUGCAUCAUGGGCACAUUACUUACAGUCAUAGACUCAUUCACUCAACCCACUAAUUAAUACUAAUUAACAUAAUCAACAAUCAAUAACCCUAUAAUAAUUCUGGUGCUCCUAUCACUAUCCCCUCCCCAGGCCUGUGUAGACGUCCCUCAGCUGCUGGAGGAGGCAGUGGAGGCAGGAGCUCCUCAAAACCCGGGCCCUGUCCUGGCCGCCCUGUUAGACCACUUCAGGAACGGGUCCUGCUUCCAUGCCCUGCCAAGCCCUCAGUACUUUGUGGACUUUGUGUUCCGGCAGCAUAGCAGCGAAGCUCUCAACAUGACAUUGGCGGGUGAGACCUGGGCUGAGACCCCCCAGGCUCCAUGUCCCUGGGAAGGGCGGACCUGGAGCCCAUAGACUGGGCACUACUUCUGUCCUUCCUAACAGAGCUGGAAGCUUUGAUGAAGCGCCUGGGAGUGGGUGGAGAGGCCCACAGUGACCACAACCACAGUGACCAUGAUGACCACAGUCAACUGGAUAGGGAGGCCAACAACCGGGACCCCGUUCCCCUUGCCAUCCUCAACAGCAGCUCCAGUGUGUGGGACACGGUGAGCCACCUGUGCAGUCUUAGGAGGACUGGGGCCCCAUGGGUGCAUGCUCAGCCCCUGACCCCUGUUCUGCACACCUCCCCACAGGUGUGCCUGAGUGCCAGGGAGGUAAUGGCUGUUUAUGGGCUGUCUGAGAAGACUGGGGUGAGCCCCGAAGCCUGGACCAGAUUGAGCCCUGCCCUGCUCCAGCAGCAACUGAGCGGGGCCUGCAGCCCCCAGGCAAAGUCACCCACCCAGGACCAGCUCAGCCAGACAGAGAGUGCGUGCCCAACCCCCCAGCUGGGCCUACCUGGCUGUGCCCCAAGGUGCUGGCCUCAGGAGGGGGGCCCACCUAGGGAAGAGGGAGUGGCUACUGGGAAUGGGGAGGAAUGGAGGUAGGGAGGGAGGCAGGCAAGGAUGGAGGCCUGCAAGGGGGCUCAGGGAGGCUUUGAGAUAGGAGGGCCAGUGUAAGCAAAGGCCUUUGCUGACCACGGGCAGCGCUGGUGAACUCCUGCUCAUCCCCUGGCUGGGCUUGGGAAGCAGGGGGUUCUCAGUGUGGCCUCACCCCCUAGGGUAUCUGUAUGGCUCCCUGGCCACACUGCUCAUCUGCCUCUGUGCUGUGCUUGGCCUCCUGCUGCUGACCUGUGCCAGUUGCAGCUCUGCCACCCACUAUGUCAUGCAGACCUUCCUGAGCAUGGCCGUGGGUGCACUCACUGGUGACGCCCUCCUGCACCUGACACCCAAGGUCUGUCCUCACCCAUCAGCCAGAGUCCUUCCUUUCCCUCCCUCUCCUGGCCUUCCCCAGACCCAGCCUUUCACCCCUGUGGGCCCUAAAUCCCACCCCCCUGCCCACACUCUGCUCCCCAGGUGUUGGGGCUGCACACGCACAGUGGAGAGGACCACACACACAGUGGGGAGGGCCUUGGCCCACAGUCCACCUGGCGUCUACUGGCUGUGCUGGGAGGCCUUUACAUCUUCUUCCUGUUUGAGAGCCUCUUCAACAUCCUGCUGCCCAAGGACCAGGUCAGGCUCGUGGGGACCCAAUGGGUACACAGGAAGGAGACUUGAAAGCCCCUGACCACCUUCCCCACAGGAUCCAGAGAAGGACGGGCACUGCAGCCAUGGUGGCCACAGCCACGGUGUGUCCCUGCAGCUGGCGCCCAGCGAGCUCCGGCAGCCCAAGCAGGCCCACGAGGGCUCUAGCGCAGAGCUGGUGAGUGGGCCACCCCUGCUCCAUGCAGAGCCUGGUUCAGGAGAACCCUCCAUAGUCCCGUGACCUGUCCCCAUGCCAAGGCCUGACCCCUUCUGCACCUCAGCCAGGGCUCCCCCUCGCUCCUCCCAGGUGGCAGAGGAGAGCCCGGAGCUGCUGAACCCCGAGACCCGGAGGCUGAACCCAGGUGAGCUCUGGGGAGGCGCGGAGCACCAGGGCCUGCGGUCCGUGGGCGGGCGGCGGGCGGGAGUAGUCCUGAGAGGACGCAUGCCCAUGGCGCCCGCAGAGCUGAGGCUGCUACCCUACCUGAUCACCCUGGGCGACGCCGUGCACAACUUCGCUGACGGACUGGCCGUGGGCGCGGCCUUCGCGUCCUCCUGGAAGACCGGGCUGGCCACCUCCCUGGCGGUGUUCUGCCACGAGGUGCCUCACGAGCUGGGUGAGCUGCGGGGACAAGGCCUGCUUUGGUGGGCGGGGAUACCGGUCAGGGCGUGGCCUCUGUGGUGGGGGGACCCUGGGAAGUGGGGGGACCCUAGGUGCCGGGCGCACCUCGCCAGGGGGUGAGGCUGGCUACCCGGGGCAGCAGCGGGUCAGUCCUGAAGGUGGGCUGGGCCUGCCCGCCGCGCGGACCUCUGGACGGGACCCUGCCCACAGGGGACUUCGCGGCCCUGCUGCACGCGGGGCUGUCGGUGCGCCGUGCGCUGCUGCUGAACCUGGCCUCGGCUCUCACGGCCUUUGCCGGCCUCUACGUGGCGCUUGCAGUCGGAGUCGGCGAGGAGAGCGAGGCCUGGAUCCUGGCAGUAGCCACAGGCCUCUUCCUCUACGUGGCGCUCUGUGACAUGGUCAGGGGGCAGCCGGGAGCCUGGGGUGGGGAGCUGAGAAGGUGCCUAAGCCGCCCACUAACCCAGUGCCCCCUCCUCAGCUCCCGGCCAUGCUCAAUGUGCGGGACCGCAGGCCCUGGCUCCUCUUCCUGCUGCACCAUGUGGGCCUGCUGGGCGGCUGGACCGUCCUGCUGCUGCUGUCACUGUACGAGGACAAUAUCACCCUUUAAUAAUCCUGCCCCUGUCUACAGCUGUUGACUCUGCCCCUGACCAGGGCUCCUCAUACCUUUGGAUGGGCUCAGCAGCCAGAGAACCCCAGGGCCUCGAGAGUCCCCUUCUCCCUCCCCAGGUUUGGAGCCCCUAUUUCAAUAAAGACAGCCUUAUCCUUGAA